rnacentral:ncRNA from 6 species
CGUAGGUGAACCUGCGGAAGGAUCAUUAC